rnacentral:rRNA from 1 species
GAUGAACGCUGGCGGCGUGCCUAAUACAUGCAAGUCGAGCGAACAGACGAGGAGCUUGCUCCUCUGACGUUAGCGGCGGACGGGUGAGUAACACGUGGAUAACCUACCUAUAAGACUGGGAUAACUUCGGGAAACCGGAGCUAAUACCGGAUAACAUGUUGAACCGCAUGGUUCAACAGUGAAAGACGGUCUUGCUGUCACUUAUAGAUGGAUCCGCGCCGCAUUAGCUAGUUGGUAAGGUAUCGGCUUACCAAGGCAACGAUGCGUAGCCGACCUGAGAGGGUGAUCGGCCACACUGGAACUGAGACACGGUCCAGACUCCUACGGGAGGCAGCAGUAGGGAAUCUUCCGCAAAGGGCGAAAGCCUGACGGAGCAACGCCGCGUGAGUGAAGAAGGUCUUCGGAUCGUAAAACUCUGUUAUUAGGGAAGAACAAAUGUGUAAGUAACUAUGCACGUCUUGACGGUACCUAAUCAGAAAGCCACGGCUAACUACGUG